rnacentral:rRNA from 1 species
UACGAAGGGGGCAAGCGUUGUUCGGAAUUACUGGGCGUAAAGGGCGCGCAGGCGGCCGAUCAAGUCAGAUGUGAAAGUCCCGGGCUCAACCUGGGAAUAGCAUUUGGGACUGGUCGGCUAGAGUUCGGGAGAGGAGAGUGGAAUUCCCAGUGUAGAGGUGAAAUUCGUAGAUAUUGGGAAGAACACCGGUGGCGAAGGCGGCUCUCUGGACCGACACUGACGCUGAGGCGGCGAAAGCGUGGGGAGCAAACAGG